rnacentral:rRNA from 1 species
UAGGGAAUCUUCGGCAAUGGACGAAAGUCUGACCGAGCAACGCCGCGUGAGUGAAGAAGGUUUUCGGAUCGUAAAACUCUGUUGUUAGAGAAGAACAAGGACGUUAGUAACUGAACGUCCCCUGACGGUAUCUAACCAGAAAGCCACGGCUAACUACGUGCCAGCAGCCGCGGUAAUACGUAGGUGGCAAGCGUUGUCCGGAUUUAUUGGGCGUAAAGCGAGCGCAGGCGGUUUCUUAAGUCUGAUGUGAAAGCCCCCGGCUCAACCGGGGAGGGUCAUUGGACACUGGGAGACUUGAGUGCAGAAGAGGAGAGUGGAAUUCCAUGUGUAGCGGUGAAAUGCGUAGAUAUAUGGCGGAACACCAGUGGCGAAGGCGGCUCUCUGGUCUGUAACUGACGCUGAGGCUCGAAAGCGUGGGGAGCAAACAGG